rnacentral:rRNA from 1 species
GAUGAACGCUGGCGGCGUGCCUAAUACAUGCAAGUCGAGCGGACGGACGAGAAGCUUGCUUCCUUACUGUUAGCGGCGGGCGGGUGAGUAAGACGUGGAUCACCUACUUCUAAGUCUGGGAUAAUUUCGGGAAAACGGAGAUACUACUGGAUCAUAUUUUGAACCGCAUGGUUCAAAAGUGAAUGACGGUUUUGCCGUCACUUAUAGCUGGAUCCGCGCUGCAUUAGCUAGUUGGUAAGGUAACGGCUUACCAAGGAAACGAAGCAUAGCCGACCUGAGAGGGUGAUCGGCCACACUGGAACUGAGACACGGUCCAGACUCCUACGGGAGGCAGCAGUAGGGAAUCUUCCGCAAUGGGCGAAAGCCUGACGGAGCAACGCCGCGUGAGUGAUGAAGGUCUUCGGAUCGUAAAACUCUGUUAUUGGGGAAGAACAUAUGUGUAAGUAACUGUGCACAUCUUGACGGUACCUAAUCAGAAAGCCACGGCUAACUACGUG